GUGAACGUUACAAACUGUUGCCUCGGCGGGAUCUCUGCCCCGGGUGCGUCGCAGCCCCGGACCAAGGCGCCCGCCGGAGGACCAACCAAAACUCUUAUUGUAUACCCCCUCGCGGGUUUUUUACUAUCUGAGCCAUCUCGGCGCCCCUCGUGGGCGUUUCGAAAAUGAAUCAAAACUUUCAACAACGGAUCUCUUGGUUCUGGCAUCGAUGAAGAACGCAGCGAAAUGCGAUAAGUAAUGUGAAUUGCAGAAUUCAGUGAAUCAUCGAAUCUUUGAACGCACAUUGCGCCCGCCAGUAUUCUGGCGGGCAUGCCUGUCCGAGCGUCAUUUCAACCCUCGAACCCCUCCGGGGGGUCGGCGUUGGGGAUCGGCCCUUUACGGGGCCGGCCCCGAAAUACAGUGGCGGUCUCGCCGCAGCCUCUCCUGCGCAGUAGUUUGCACACUCGCAUCGGGAGCGCGGCGCGUCCACAGCCGUUAAACACCCCAAACUUCUGAAAUGUUGACCUCGGAUCAGGUAGGAAUACCCGCUGAACUUAAGCAUAUCAAUAAGCGGAG
rnacentral:rRNA from 1 species